rnacentral:rRNA from 1 species
GAUGAACGCUGGCGGCGUGCCUAAUACAUGCAAGUCGAGCGAACGGACGAGAAGCUUGCUCCUCUGAUGUUAGCGGCGGACGGGUGAGUAACACGUGGAUAACCUACCUAUAAGACUGGGAUAACUUCGGGAAACCGGAGCUAAUACCGGAUAAUAUUUCGAACCGCAUGGUUCAAAAGUGAAAGACGGUUUUGCUGUCACUUAUAGAUGGAUCCGCGCUGCAUUAGCUAGUUGGUAAGGUAACGGCUUACCAAGGCAACGAUGCAUAGCCGACCUGAGAGGGUGAUCGGCCACACUGGAACUGAGACACGGUCCAGACUCCUACGGGAGGCAGCAGUAGGGAAUCUUCCGCAAUGGGCGAAAGCCUGACGGAGCAACGCCGCGUGAGUGAUGAAGGUCUUCGGAUCGUAAAACUCUGUUAUUAGGGAAGAACAUAUGUGUAAGUAACUGUGCACAUCUUGACGGUACCUAAUCAGAAAGCCACGGCUAACUACGUG